rnacentral:tRNA from 1 species
GGAGCUAUGGCUCAGUGGUAGAGCGCUCACCUAGUGCGGGUGAAGCACUAGGUUCGAUCCUUAGCACCA